AAUCCCAUUUUUACCCCAAAAAUCCCUUUAUAGGAUCCUCAAAUCCCCCAUUUCCCUCUUUAAAUCCCAUUUUUACCCCAAAAAUCCGAUUAUAGGAUCUCAAAAUCCCCUUUUUCUCCCCAAAAAACCAUUUUCACACCAAAAUCCCAUUAUAGGAGCCACAAAUCCCCCAUGUCCCCACCAAAAUCCCAUUUUUCUUCCUAAAAAUCCCCCAUUUCCCCCCCCAAAAUCCGAUUUUUACCCCCAAAAUCCCUCUAUAGUUUCCCAAAAAUCCCCUUUUCCUCCCCCAAAAUCCCAUUUUUACCCCCAAAAUCCCUUUAUAGGAUCCAAAAAUCCCCCAUUCCUCCCCCCAAAAUCCCAUUCUUACCCCAAAAAUCCCCCAUUUCCUCCCCCAAAUCCCCUUUUUCCUCCCCAAAAAUCCCCCAUUCUCCCCAAGAUCCCAUUUUUCCCCCAUAAAUCCCUUUAUAGGAUCCCCAAAAUCCCUCAUUCCCCCCCCCAAAAAUCCCAUUUUUACCCCAAAAUUCCCUUUAUACGUUCCCCAAGAUCCUAUUUUCACCCUCAAAAUCCCUUUAUAGGAUCCCCAAAAUCCCCCAAAUCCACUUUUUACCCCCACAAUCCCAUUUUUACCUCCAAAAUCCCUUCAUAGGAUCCCCAAAAUCCCCCAAAUCCCCUUUUUCCCUGCAAAAUCCCAUUUUCACCCCAGAAUUCCCUUUAUGAGAUCCCCAUAAUCCCCCAUUUCCUCCCCAAAAUCCCAUUUUUACCCCAAAAAUCCCUUUAUAGGAUCCCCAGAAUCCCACUUUUACCCCAAAAAUCCCUUCAUAGGAUCCCCAAAAUCCCCCAAAUCCACUUUUUACCCCCACAAUCCCAGUUUUACCCCAAAAAUCCCUUUAUGUUCCCAAAAAUCCCCUUUUUCUCCCCCAAAAUCCCAUUUUUACCUCCAAAAUCCCUUCAUAGGAUCCCAAAAAUCCCCCAAAUCCCCUUUUUCCCUGCAAAAUCCCAUUUUCACCCCAGAAUUCCCUUUAUGAGAUCCCCAAAAUCCCCCGUUUCCUCCCCAAAAUCCCAUUUUUACCCCAAGAAUCCCUUCGUAGGUUCCCAAAAAUCCCCCAUUUCCCCCCCAGAUUCUCAUUUUUCCCCCCCAAAUCCCAUUUUU